ACAUUCCUUGAUCAAGAUUCGACAACUCUGUGUGGAUUUUUCUUUAGAUAGCUUUUUCUUAGAAGAUGCAGCAAUUUAAAGCCCUUGUUAUAUUGUUUAUCGCUGCCACGGUGUAUAUUUCUUAUUCUGAAGCGUUUCAUAUGGGGAAUAACCAAGUGGGCCAGCCAAAAGGUGAUGACCCAAAGGAUAUUCGCGGAUAUAACCAGCCAAGAGUGUAUGAUGAAGACACAAGAUUGAAAGCGAAGAGGCACCGCUUUGAAGACUGGAACACUUAUAAUUACCGGAAAUAGACACAUUAUCAUGACUAGGCUCAAGAAAGCAGAAGUACCAAGUUAGAAUUAGACUGCAGAGUAGAGUAAUAAAUGAUCAUCAUUGAU